CCUGUUUGUUCCAGUUCAGUGGACCGGUGGACGGAAUGUGGUGGUUUGGUUGAUUCGUGUUAAAAAAGCUCUCCUUUGAUUGUUAAUUAUCAAGUGAGAUAAGAAUGACCAAUCUUCAUGAGUCUAAAUUAAAGUGUUACUGGAAGUUAUAGACGCAGAGAUAGACAAAUUCAACGCACGGCUUAAGG